rnacentral:ncRNA from 1 species
AUAAUAGAUAUGUGAGAAAUGUGAAGAAUAGACUUGAUCAUGAUGCUUUAAUUAUUGAACCUGAGAUUCUUCCCUGCCAUUUGUUGCCUGCAAACCCAACUGUUAUUAAUCUGCAAUGGGCGAAAGCCUGAUAGAGCAAUGCCGCGUGCAGGUAGAAGGCCCACGGGUCGUGGACUUCUUUUCUCGGAGAAGAAGCAAUGACGGUAUCUGGAGAAUAAGCAUCGGCUAACUCUGUGCCAAUAGCCGCGGCAGUACAAAGGAUGCAAGCGUUAUCCGGAAUGAUUGGGUGUAAAGCGUUUGUAGGUGGCUUUUUAAGUCUGCCGUCAAAUCCCAGGGCUCAACCCUGGAUAGGCGGUGGAACUACCAAGCUGGAGUACGGUAGGGGCAAAGGGAAUUUCCAGUGGAGCGGUGAAAGGCAUAGAGAUCGGAAAGAACACCAACGGCGAAAGCACUCUGCUGGGCCGACACCGACACUGAGAGACGAAAGCUAGGGGAGCGAAUGGGAUUAGACACCCCAGUAUUCCUAGCCGUAAAUGAUGGAUAUAUGGUUAAAACGCAUUCAUCGCUGCAUUGUGGUUCGACGCAACCUAAUAAGGUAUAUCAUUGUCAUCUCUUUU